rnacentral:rRNA from 1 species
GUGGGGAAUUUUGGACAAUGGGCGAAAGCCUGAUCCAGCAAUGCCGCGUGUGUGAAGAAGGCCUUCGGGUUGUAAAGCACUUUUGUCCGGAAAGAAAUCUCCUGGGUUAAUACCUCGGGGGGAUGACGGUACCGGAAGAAUAAGCACCGGCUAACUACGUGCCAGCAGCCGCGGUAAUACGUAGGGUGCGAGCGUUAAUCGGAAUUACUGGGCGUAAAGCGUGCGCAGGCGGCUAUGCAAGACAGAUGUGAAAUCCCCGGGCUCAACCUGGGAACUGCAUUUGUGACUGCAUGGCUAGAGUGCGUCAGAGGGAGGUGGAAUUCCGCGUGUAGCAGUGAAAUGCGUAGAGAUGCGGAGGAACACCGAUGGCGAAGGCAGCCUCCUGGGAUGACACUGACGCUCAUGCACGAAAGCGUGGGGAGCAAACAGGAUUAGAUACCCGGGUAGUCC